GUCGAGAAUCAUUCACAAUGGGCGAAAGCCUGACCCAGCAACGCCGCGUGAGGGAAGAAGGUUUUCGGAUUGUAAACCUCUGUCCUUGGGGACGAAGAAAGUGACGGUACCCAGGGAGGAAGCCCCGGCUAACUACGUGCCAGCAGCCGCGGUAAUACGUAGGGGGCGAGCGUUGUUCGGAAUGACUGGGCGUAAAGGGCGCGUAGGCGGCCGAUUAAGUCUGGAGUGAAAGUCCUGUUUUUAAGGCGGGAAUUGCUUUGGAGACUGGUUGGCUUGAGUGCGGAAGAGGUAAGUGGAAUUCCCAGUGUAGCGGUGAAAUGCGUAGAGAUUGGGAGGAACACCAGUGGCGAAGGCGACUUACUGGGCCGUAACUGACGCUGAAGCGCAAAAGCGUGGGGAGCGAACAGGAUUAGAAACCCGUGUAGUCC
rnacentral:rRNA from 1 species